AAACAUUCGGAGAUCGAGAAAGGGUUAACACGAUACAUCGAAGGAAUUAUUAAAGGAAUUGUUCUACAACAGUGAUGAGGAUGACAAAAGAGUUUACGUGGAAAAACAAGCCAAACCACAACAUGUUAAAAGGCAGAAACAGACCGGACCAAAGACAAAAGUUCGAAUUUAGCCGAGGCGAACGGACAUGAUGACAUCAUAUUCCUUGAUUUUUUAGAUCCACAUUUCGAAUCUUGAUGCUUCAGGGUAUAGCACAGUAUUUUCUAUUUUUUGAUAUCUUACAAGACUGAACACAGAC